CCUACGGGAGACAGCAGUGAGGAAUAUUGGUCAAUUGACGAGAGUCUGAACCAGCCAAGUAGCGUGAAGGAUGACUGCCCUAUGGGUUGUAAACUUCUUUUAUAUGGGAAUAAAAUGUUCCACGUGUGGGAUUUUGUAUGUACCAUAUGAAUAAGGAUCGGCUAACUCCGUGCCAGCAGCCGCGGUAAUACGGAGGAUCCGAGCGUUAUCCGGAUUUAUUGGGUUUAAAGGGAGCGUAGGUGGAUUGUUAAGUCAGUUGUGAAAGUUUGCGGCUCAACCGUAAAAUUGCAGUUGAAACUGGCAGUCUUGAGUACAGUAGAGGUGGGCGGAAUUCGUGGUGUAGCGGUGAAAUGCUUAGAUAUCACGAAGAACUCCGAUUGCGAAGGCAGUUCACUGGACUGCAACUGACACUGAGGCUCGAAAGUGUGGGUAUCAAACAGGAUUAGAUACCCGGGUAGUC
rnacentral:rRNA from 1 species